AAAAAGUAGAACGAAAAUGGGUCGUACGUACAUACUCGACCCAUAAUAAUCGAUCAUCAGUGUUCGAUUGUCACGUUGCCAACUAGCAUCAUAUUGAAACGAGUUGUACCAUCCGAGUUUUAUAGAACGCGAAGAUUUUUAUUUCAUUGACAACGUUCACACACCGCAUCAAUAUGACGAACUACCUCAAUUCUCGAUGGUACAGAAGUGCGAAGAUUAUUGGAACGUCACAAAAGGCAGGACGUCACGUUCUGCAUGUUGUUUUAUUUAUUUUGCUUCGUUGUACUGACUGCAUUUGACAUUAUAAAAACAAGCGACGAUGAUAAAUGGUUCCGGCGUCUUAUUAUACCAACUUUUGUCGUGCUUUUAAGUUUCCGUAUAUGGGCAGCUAAGCAACUGAUCAAAGCUACUGAAUCGGAACCCACAGCUAGUGCUGCCUACAAGUGCUGUAAAUACUGGCAAAUCGUCAGCAUUGCCUUUGUCUCCAUAACAUCAAUGGUUCCCAUACUCGGCUCAUAUUUCCGUUACGACCCUAUGGUCUCUAUGAUCUCUAUGUCAACAGUAAUGUCAUGUGGUGCUGUCAUAUUUGUUGCGUUCGGUGAAGGUAUGUGCUACAUUAGAGUGAAUAAUUUCAUGCAGGAUCUUCAAUCAGCAGUACUAUUAGAAUUAUUACCCUCCUUCUAAAUUGUACGCGCUAUUAAUGAAAAGUGUAUUUGAAGCUUUGUGGAUGGACGAAUAAAUUGUUUGAAUUUCAUUCCCUCUGUGUAUGAGAUUCUCACGAUUCUCA